rnacentral:RNase_P_RNA from 1 species
ACCGCGGGAUACGAGAGUAUCAUGAGGAAAGUCCGAGCAUCACAGAGCAGGGUAGCUGAUAACGUCAGCCGAGGGCGACCUUAGGGCUAGUGCAACAGAGAUAUACCGCAGCGUUUUCACGGACGCUGUAAGGGUGGAAAGGCGAGGUAAGAGCUCACCGGGGCAUAGGUGACUAUGCCGCCAUGUAAACCCUAUCCGAUGCAACACCGAUUGGUGCGGGGAGAUACGCGUCUGCUCGGCGCGCCUCGUUGAAAGGUGGCUUGACCCUGUCGGCGACGGCAGGGCUAGAUAGAUGGUCAUACGCGACAGAACUCGGCUUACCGAUGGAG